rnacentral:rRNA from 1 species
GACGAACGCUGGCGGCGUGCUUAACACAUGCAAGUCGAACGGAAAGGCCCUGCUUUUGUGGGGUGCUCGAGUGGCGAACGGGUGAGUAACACGCGAGUAACCUGCCCUUGACUUUGGGAUAACUUCAGGAAACUGGGGCUAAUAUCGGAUAGGAGCUCCUGCUGCAUGGUGGGGGUUGGAAAGUUUCGGCGGUUGGGGAUGGACUCGCGGCUUAUCAGCUUGUUGGUGGGGUAGUGGCUUACCAAGGCUUUGACGGGUAGCCGGCCUGGGAGGGUGCCCGGCCCCAUUGGGACUGAGAUACGGCCCAGACUCCUACGGGAGGCAGCAGUGGGGAAUAUUGCACAAUGGGCGGAAGCCUGAUGCAGCAACGCCGCGUGCGGGAUGACGGCCUUCGGGUUAUAAACCGCUUUCGCCUGUGACGAAGCGUGAGUGACGGUAAUGGGUAAAGAAGCACCGGCUAACUACGUG